CUUUGGAGAGCAACCUCAGAAGUGCCGUCCAGCAGCUCAGCCCCCUAUCCCUUGACCUUUAGGAAUCUCUUCUAACGUUUAGUCUUACAAUCGCUUUGAAGUCUGGCAUCAACUGCGGGUCACGCAGGACUCUUCCCACGCUGGGAAAGGACCCACGUGUCUGGGAAAAGCGCCCCUUCCUUCUCCUCCCAGGGGAAGUGAAGAUUCAGGCUGGGGUCAGCCUUUGCGAUCGCACCCUGCGGCCCAGAGCUGCCACUAUCCCUUUCUCUAUGGCUUGUCUCACAGGUAAGAGGCAAGAGCAGCACAUCUGAAAUCGGAACAGACUGGCCAGGGGUCAACCCUGACCCAGCUGCGGGGUCUGAGCAGGGCUGAGCGCAGCGCCAGGCCUGGGAACUUACCGCAGGGCGACACUGACGUUGGUUGAGCUGCCAUUUUCCAGCUUUACAACGGGAGGAACGGUGAGGCUGACGGUUGACUCUGGAAGGACCCAAAUCAGUGACAUGAGGCGCCAGGUCAGAGCUUGGGCCAUGACAGGACACUGGGGUGAAAUCCCCGACAUCUGAACGCCUGAGCGCGGACUCCCUGAUGAGCCCUAUUCCGUGAUGGGCCCUAUUCCGUGAUGGGCCGGCUAACACAGGCCCUGGUGAGGUUCUUUCCCCACCUGCUGCCAGAGACAGGCAGAAGCACUCCAGCUGGGGCAACAGAGUGAGACUGUGUCCCAAAAAAAAAAAAAAUUUGUUUUGUAGAGAUGGGGUCUUAGUAUGUCACUCAGGCUGAUGUCAAACUCCUGUGCCCAAGUGAUCCUCCCUCUUUGGCCUCUCAAAGUGUUGGGAUUACAGGUGUGAGGAAAUGCCGGGGCCACCUCCUCCCCUUGCAAGGACAGGCUCUGAGAGUCUGCGGCUGAGUUACUCAGAGAUCGUUAGAGAACAUGGAGCCCCAGAAUCACCACAAAGGAAUCCACGCAUGAUCUGGAAUGUAAAAGGCAGCCCUGAACCACCUCUUCAGAUGGAAAGCGCAGGAUCUCCUCUGCUCAUGAUGUCAAAAUGGCCCUGAAGAACCGGGCCAACCCCUUUCCUGCACGCUCAGACACACACACGGGCCCAGCUAAUGAGUUUCUAAGGAACCCUCUGGGCUCCCUGACUCACCCAGCUCCCCGGCUCUGGACCCUUCCUGAGGCUAUCUGUGUGCGGGCUGGAGAAGGAAGGGUGAAUGAAUAGCUGUUUCAGUCUCAGAUCUCUUCUUGGCUUUAAGGUGUUAUCUCAGAAUAAAGAUGACAAACAGGCCCCCAGAUGAGGGGGAA